rnacentral:rRNA from 1 species
AGUGAACGCUGGCGGUAGGCCUAACACAUGCAAGUCGAACGGCAGCACAGUAAGAGCUUGCUCUUACGGGUGGCGAGUGGCGGACGGGUGAGGAAUACAUUGGAAUCUACUUUUUCGUGGGGGAUAACGUAGGGAAACUUACGCUAAUACCGCAUACGACCUACGGGUGAAAGCAGGGGAUCUUCGGACCUUGCGCGAUUGAAUGAGCCGAUGUCGGAUUAGCUAGUUGGCGUGGUAAAGGCCCACCAAGGCGACGAUCCGUAGCUGGUCUGAGAGGAUGAUCAGCCACACUGGAACUGAGACACGGUCCAGACUCCUACGGGAGGCAGCAGUGGGGAAUAUUGGACAAUGGGCGCAAGCCUGAUCCAGCCAUACCGCGUGGGUGAAGAAGGCCUUCGGGUUGUAAAGCCCUUUUGUUGGGAAAGAAAAGCAGCAGGUUAAUACCCCGCUGUUCUGACGGUACCCAAAGAAUAAGCACCGGCUAACUUCGUG